GAUCCUGGCUCAGAUUGAACGCUGGCGGCAGGCUUAACACAUGCAAGUCGAGCGGGGAAAGGUAGCUUGCUACCUGACCUAGCGGCGGACGGGUGAGUAAUGCUUAGGAAUCUGCCUAUUAGUGGGGGACAACAUUCCGAAAGGAAUGCUAAUACCGCAUACGUCCUACGGGGGAAAGCAGGGGAUCUUCGGACCUUGCGCUAAUAGAUGAGCCUAAGUCGGAUUAGCUAGUUGGUGGGGUAAAGGCCUACCAAGG
rnacentral:rRNA from 1 species